GUUUUCCUGCGGUAUUCGUGACCUUGGUCUUUCAUCUCUUACCGAUGCUUAUGGCCUUGGUAGUUAGCUCAAGCGCAGGAGUGAACCUCUCUAGUCAGAGGAUCCCAGAGCGCAGACGAGCCGACCGCCUACUUGAACUUUUUGGGUUCGAGAUGCCGACCUUGACGGUACUGCGGGUAAUUU
rnacentral:other from 1 species